UCUCGAUCUCCUAACCUCAUGAUCCUCCCACCUUGGCCUCCCAAAGUGCUGGGAUUACAGGCAUGAGCCACCGCACCCAGCUGACAUGAAGGUUUUCAUUCUGCUUUUCCUUUCUGGAGCAUUUACAAGACAGGAGCAAGUGCUUCUGAAACAAAGACUUUUUAAUUAGCUCUUUGCCUUUGAGAACCUCUCACAGCACGUUCCAUCUGCCUUCUCUUUGAAUUUCUUGCAGUCAUCUAGGCUGGUGUGAAGCUAACACAGGCCAGGCCACGAGCUCUGUUCUCAGGACCCCUGCGGGGGGACGUGGUCACUUCUGCAGUCACUGGCUGUGUGUGCCUCUUGGUCAGGAUGAAGUCCAAUCAUCAGUUCCACUCAUCGUCGCUUCCUGUCCCUUCAUCUGCACACAUGUCUGGAGGAGAUGGCCCAGGACCUCUGGCUUUGCUUCUCCCCAGGAGAAGGUGCCAGUUAAACCCACAGGAGAGGGACUCAGGCAGAGGGACAGUGCCCCGUGUUCCAGGACACACAGAUGCAUGAGGAGGAGGAGGCCAGCCAGCAGCAAGGAGGAGAGCCAGGGCACCGAGCACCGGGAGGCAGCCCUCCCUCCCGCAAGCUCUCAGACCGCCGAUGCCCUCAGACCUAGGAGCAGCACCCGUACCCCGCCAGGCCCCAUCUCCUCCCCUCCCUCAAAGCCUCACUUCUCCAGGGUCCAGCCCUGAUAUCUCUUUCCCAGGCCUUCCAGGAGCUGUCUGCCCUCCUGUCCCCCUGUCGGAUCCCCCUGCCCUGUAUGUUCCCCUAGGUCCCACUUCUCAUCCAUCUCAGUCAUCUAUGGCCACAUAAAACCACACCCCAAGGCCAGCACAGUGGCUCACGCCUGUAAUCCCAGCACUUUGGGAGGCCAAAGCAGGAGGAUCACUUGAGCCCAGGAGUUACAGACCAGCCUGGGCAACCUAGCAAGACCCCCAUCUCUAUCAAAACAAAAACCAAGCGAGGCAUGGUGGUAUGCACCUAUAGUCCUAGCUACUCAGGAGGCCAAGACGCAAGGAUCACUUGAGCCUGGGGGAUCAAGGCUGCAGUGAGCUAUGAUUACACCACUGGACUCUAGCCUGGGUGACAGAGCAAGACCCUGUCUCUAAAAAAUAAACCACAGCUCAGCCCACUACUCAGAACA